AAAACAAAAACAGUCAGUGGUGGCAGAAUGCAGUCAUCAGUGUGUCAGUGGUGUCAGUGAGUUGUUUGAACGCGUGAAGAAACUGGCCCUUGUCUAAGUAGUCCAUGUCAAAAUGGCAUAUGCUCCAAUAAGUUUGGCACGGAGACUGAGUUCUUCACGUGUACGUGUGAUGCUGGAUGGGCCGGUGACCUCUGUGAAUUAGACAUCAACGAGUGUAUAGUUUUGGAUUUCCCGUGCAUCAAUGGUGACUGCAAUGACUUGCUCGACAGCUACAACUGCUCCUGCUUUCCUGGUUGGACAGGUUUCAAUUGUACAGAAGAUAUCGAUGAAUGUGCAAGCAACCCCUGCAUAAAUGGUGGUACAUGCGACAAUCAGCAGAAUGCUUUUAACUGCACAUGUCCAUUGAGAUGGGAAGGAACACA